rnacentral:rRNA from 1 species
GCCGCGGUAAAACCAGCACCUCAAGUGGUCAGGAGGAUUAUUGGGCCUAAAGCAUCCGUAGCCUGUUCUAUAAGUUUGCGGUUAAAUCUAUACGCUCAACGUAUAGGCUGCCGUAAAUACUGUAGAACUAGGGAGUGGGAGAGGUAGACGGUACUCGAUAGGAAGGGGUAAAAUCCUUUGAUCUAUUGAUGACCACCUGUGGCGAAGGCGGUCUACCAGAACACGUUCGACGGUGAGGGAUGAAAGCUGGGGGAGCAAACCGGAUUAGAUACCCGGGUAGUCCCAGCUGUAAACGAUGCAGACUCGAUGAUGCAAUGGCAUAGAGCUAUUGCAGUAUCGCAGGGAAGCCGUUAAGUCUGCCGCCUGGGAAGUACGUACGCAAGUAUGAAACUUAAAGGAAUUGGCGGGGGAGCACGGUCAUACUU